UACGAAGGGGGCUAGCGUUGCUCGGAAUCACUGGGCGUAAAGCGCGUGUAGGCGGCUUUGCAAGUCGGGCGUGAAAUCCCACGGCUCAACCGUGGAAGUGCACUCGAAACUGCAGAGCUAGAGUCCUGGAGAGGAAGGUGGAAUGCUUGGUGUAGAGGUGAAAUUCGUAGAUAUCAAGCGGAACACCGGUGGCGAAGGCGGCCUUCUGGACAGUGACUGACGCUGAGACGCGAAAGCGUGGGGAGCAAACAGG
rnacentral:rRNA from 1 species